rnacentral:lncRNA from 1 species
AUUCAAUUCUAUUUCCCGCACAUAACAUCUUAAAUAUUUGAAAAUAUCCCUCCCAUCAAAUUGGUCAACCUUAUUAAUCACUGCUUACAAUGCUUUGGUUGCCAAAGCCUCUUUGCGAUUAUUGCCCUGUUGCUAAAGAUUAGAUAUCUCUAAACCACGCCAUUAGAUUAUCACAAAAUUUUUUAUACAGUUAGCAUACCCAAUAAUCCAAACAAUAACAAUUUUUCAACCAUAGAUGUCAUGCCAAUUGCACGAACUAGCCAAAAUUUCUAGCCCUAAUUAUAUUUUAUAAAACCCAAAUCAUUGAUACAAACCCUGACUUUGAACAACAAUUGCUAAGUCCUCCAAAACCUUCUCAAAACAAUU